rnacentral:rRNA from 1 species
UACGGAAGGCAGCAGUGGGGAAUAUUGCACAAUGGGCGCAAGCCUGAUGCAGCCAUGCCGCGUGUAUGAAGAAGGCCUUCGGGUUGUAAAGUACUUUCAGUUGUGAGGAAGGUGUUAAGGUUAAUAACCUUAGCAAUUGACGUUAGCGACAGAAGAAGCACCGGCUAACUCCGUGCCAGCAGCCGCGGUAAUACGGAGGGUGCGAGCGUUAAUCGGAAUUACUGGGCGUAAAGGGCACGCAGGCGGUUAAUUAAGUUGGAUGUGAAAUCCCCCGGGCUUAACCUGGGAAUGGCAUUCAAGACUGGUUAGCUAGAGUCUUGUAGAGGGGGUAGAAUUCCAUGUGUAGCGGUGAAAUGCGUAGAGAUGUGGAGGAAUACCGGUGGCGAAGGCGGCCCCUGGACAAAGACUGACGCUCAUGUGCGAAAGCGUGGGGAGCAAACAGGAUUAGAUACC